rnacentral:rRNA from 1 species
CCUACGAGAGGCAGCAGUGAGGAAUAUUGGUCAAUGGACGAGAGUCUGAACCAGCCAAGUAGCGUGAAGGAUGAAUGCCCUAUGGGUUGUAAACUUCUUUUAUAUGGGAAUAAAAUGUUCAACGAGUGGGAUUUUGUAUGUACCAUAUGAAUAAGGAUCGGCUAACUCCGGGCCAGCAGCCGCGGUAAUACGGGGGAUCCGAGCGUUAUCCGGAUUUAUUGGGUUUAAAGGGAGCGUAGGUGGAGUGUUAAGUCAGUUGUGAAAGUUUGCGGCUCAACCGUAAAAUUGCAGUUGAAACUGACAGUAUUGAGUACAGUAGAGGUGGGCGGAAUGCGUGGUGUAGCGGUGAAAUGCUUAGAUAUCACGAAGAACUCCGAUUGCGAAGGCAGCUCACUGGACUGCAACUGACACUGAGGCUCGAAAGUGUGGGGAUCAAACAGGAUUAGAUACCCGAGUAGUC